AACGGUCUAUACCUGCGGUACCUGCGGAAGGAUCAUUAACAAAUUUGUUGAGUAUGUACAAUUGUGAACAGGCCAGAGUUUGUAUCUGAAGAAGCAUUUGUGUUGCUGAAUAUUUGUGUAGCAGAUAAGCAAUUAUUUGUGUAGCUAAAGAAGCAGAUGAGCAAUUAUUUGUCUAGCUAAAUAAGCAAUUAUUUGUGUAGCUAAAUAUUUGUCUAGCUGAAUAAGCAAAUUCACUACAAA
rnacentral:misc_RNA from 1 species